UACGAAGGGGGCUAGCGUUGCUCGGAAUCACUGGGCGUAAAGGGUGCGUAGGCGGGUCUUUAAGUCAGGGGGGAAGUCCUGGAGCUCAACUCCAGAACUGCCUUUGAUACUGAAGAUCUUGAGUUCGGGAGAGGUGAGUGGAACUGCGAGUGCAGAGGUGAAAUUCGUAGAUAUUCGCAAGAACACCAGUGGCGAAGGCGGCUCACUGGCCCGAUACUGACGCUGAGGCACGAAAGCGUGGGGAGCAAACAGG
rnacentral:rRNA from 1 species